UACUUGUGGCAUGAUCGUAAUUACACAGUAACUUCUCAACCCCUUAACCUAGGACGUUGGUUAGACUGGAUGGUUAAAUAGAGUGGAUUAGUGGUUUGAAAGUUGGGCCAAAUUUUCGCAUGGCUCAUAAUGAUGAGACUGGGGAGAGAAAUUGCCUUCUUGAAAGGAAGUUAUUGGAAUUCCUUUGCAUUGUUGUUUUCUCAUGAUCUGAAAUUGAAUCCUAUCGUUUUUCUAUUGCUGAUUUAGUGUUUCUUAUUAUUCGGUAUUUUCAUUUCAAUUUGAGAUUCAGUUUCUUUUUAUAACUUUGUCAUCUGUUCGUAAUUGCUCUUUCCAAGACAAGUCCAUUUGAGGAUUAAUUUGAUAACCGCUAUAUGGAAGAAAAAAUUAUCAUUUCUUUACUACCUUUCCUUGUCUACUCUUAUUUAUGAAGAAGUUCUAAUGUGAUUAUGACAAACAUUAUGUUAGAUCGUGUCAGUAAAAUUUACAAGAAUUUCCAGGAGAUUCCAUUACCUCAACACUUGAGGGAAGAUGAUGAUAUGCAAAACAAUUCUCUGAAGCACUUGGUGCUGCACAAACACGGGUGGAAGGAUCAUCCUCUUUUUUUAAAGCAGCUUUAACGUGGUCUAUGGAGUUUGGAUCGCAGAGGAGUGGAUCUCUGGAAAUUCAUGUCAUGCUUGCUACAUAUAUAAUUCCGAGUCACCGGAAUUGGUAUGUUCGGCCAGAGAAUAUACUUUAAGUGCUUGUUUGAAGUUUCUUUUUGUUUCCAAGAAUUUUUGUUUUUGGUGUUGGUCUGUAUGAUGACUUCAUUUUAGUUACAAAUGACAUGUUUAGGUGUCUAAAUUGUUAAUAGAAAGAAGAUAUAACAUUCGUUUUAUGAGUAUGUACGUAAUUUGGCAAUGACAUUAUGUACUGCUGACUGCUGCUAUGAUAUGUUUGCUAACAAGGUCAUGAGAAGCAUAGUCCAGUACCAUGAAUGAUGGAACUGUUGUUGAUUGUCCACUUUGACUGAUUUAAUAGUAUCUUCCAGUAUUUUACA